rnacentral:rRNA from 1 species
UACGUAGGGUGCAAGCGUUAUCCGGAAUCACUGGGCGUAAAGCGUGCGUAGGUGGCGCGUUAAGUGAGAUGUUAAAUCGUGUGGCUCAACCAUAUCGAUGCAUCUCAUACUGGCGUGCUAGAGGACAGCGGAGGCAAGUGGAAUUGGUAGUGUAGCAGUGAAAUGCGUAGAUAUUACCAGGAACACCAAUGGCGAAGGCAGCUUGCUGGGCUACUCCUGACACUGAGGUACGAAAGCGUGGGGAGCGAACAGG